GGGCGGGGUGGAGCCAGGGCUUACCUGACAAUGCACAGCUAAGACUUCAUGACAGAACACUCAGAUGAAUACAGUACACAAGCCUGACCCACAAAAGUUCUGGAAGUUCACAGAGGCUGGAAAUCAACGGCAGGGCAGGGCGGGGUGGAGCCAGGGCAUACAUGACAAUGCACAGCUAAGACUUCGUGACAGAACACUCAGAUGAAUACAGCACCCAAGCUCCAUCCUCCCUUACGGAUUCUGAAGCUUACUGGACCGGCAGACAGCCUGUUAAUUGACCACUACCUAAAAAGUUUGACAAAUUGCAGUUGUGAGAGCAGAGUAAGAAUAUUUAUUGCAUAGCAAGAUGAAGAGCAGCUCGGUGUCUCAACAAAGCAAAGGUUCCGCAGCUACUCCAAAUUCUCCACCAAGGAAGAAAGGCAGACUGCGAAAUUGCAGAUUUAAUGAUAAUUAGCUUGCAGUUC